rnacentral:rRNA from 1 species
GACGAACGCUGGCGGCGUGCUUAACACAUGCAAGUCGAACGGAAAGGCCCUGCUUUUGUGGGGUGCUCGAGUGGCGAACGGGUGAGUAACACGUGAGUAACCUGCCCUUGACUUUGGGAUAACUUCAGGAAACUGGGGCUAAUACCGGAUAGGAGCUCCUGCUGCAUGGUGGGGGUUGGAAAGUUUCGGCGGUUGGGGAUGGACUCGCGGCUUAUCAGCUUGUUGGUGGGGUAGUGGCUUACCAAGGCUUUGACGGGUAGCCGGCCUGAGAGGGUGACCGGCCACAUGGGGACUGAGAGACGGCCCAGACCCCGACGGGAGGCAGGAGGGGGGAAUAUUGCAAAAUGGGCGGAAGCCUGAUGCAGCAACGCCGCGGGGGGGAGGACGGCCUUCGGGGUGUAAACCGCUUUCGCCUGUGACGAAGCGUGAGUGACGGUAAUGGGUAAAGAAGCACCGGCUAACUACGG